AGUGAACGCUGGCGGUAGGCCUAACACAUGCAAGUCGAACGGCAGCACAGUAAGAGCUUGCUCUUACGGGUGGCGAGUGGCGGACGGGUGAGGAAUACAUCGGAAUCUACUUUUUCGUGGGGGAUAACGUAGGGAAACUUACUCUAAUACCGCAUACGACCUACGGGUGAAAGCAGGGGAUCUUCGGACCUUGCGCGAUUGAAUGAGCCGAUGUCGGAUUAGCUAGUUGGCGGGGUAAAGGCCCACCAAGGCGACGAUCCGUAGCUGGUCUGAGAGGAUGAUCAGCCACACUGGAACUGAGACACGGUCCAGACUCCUACGGGAGGCAGCAGUGGGGAAUAUUGGACAAUGGGCGCAAGCCUGAUCCAGCCAUACCGAGUGGGUGAAGAAGGCCUUCGGGUUGUAAAGCCCUUUUGUUGGGAAAGAAAAGCAGCAGGUUAAUACCCAGCUGUUCUGACGGUACCCAAAGAAUAAGCACCGGCUAACUUCGUG
rnacentral:rRNA from 1 species